CAGAUCAAGUGGUGGCCACUUUGUGGAGGGAUGUGGUUCAGUCCAUGGAAGACGUGAGGAUGUGAGUCUUGCUGUGACUACAUGCACUGCAUCAGCUCUCAUGUAGUACCAAGGGGCAGCUGCACGACAAAGAGUUGGGAGCAGGGACGCGAGCUGGUGCAUGAGAGGCGGAAGUUCAGACGGUUCAUUCAGAGCAUAUACGACUUCUGUAUCUUUUCUAAAGAAG